UCAUGGCCGGUCGGUGGAUUUUCACAAUAAGUAACAACUUAAAAAGUUUUAAAAACCAAUAUUAUGCGUUCCGCAACUCGGCCGUCAUACCGCCAGACGAAAUUACUUGUAGAAAGUUAGUAACCCUGGAAUGGCCAGGGGUCUUCUUAAAACCGACCAAGGGAAGUUAAAAUUAUGAAAAAAAUAACAUCAAUGGCCUCGACCUUAAAUGCGCUCGGAGGGUCUUAAAAAGAUGGACUCCGCUGAUAUGCCUAAAACUGAGGCAUUCCAUGGUAAAUGGCAGGAUCUUAACAUACUUAAUGUCGAGGUGCAGCAUCCUGAACCCAUCAUACCCAGGCCUGAACUAUCAAGCCGCUCAGCUCAUUCUGCUCGCACCUCACAGCAUAGAUCCAGCCGCCGCAACCAAGUUGAUGUAGAAGUAGACAGAGUGAUGGCCAUAGAGGAAAAGCAGGUAGAGGCCUAACUGCUGACAGCAUGGGCUAAUGCCCUAAAGCCUAAAGGGGACCUAGCAGAAGCUGUCCGUGAUGGAGUCAAUAUCCUCAUACAAAUUGUGCAAUAGUUAUCAAGAAAUAACAAAGUUAAGUCCAUCUAGUCCCAUAACCAGCGUUACUAGUUAUGGGUAUAGAUGCUGUUGUGCAGUAGUAGAUGAUGUGAUGAUUUAAGUAGAUUAUAUAUUAUUUUUUUUCCUGUGACAAAAAAUAUUAUUUUAUAUUAAUA